CCGGUACUGCUGUCUUCCGCCCACCUUUCUCUUCGUCCUUGUCGAGAAUUCUCGGUUAUGUAGAUCUGUUUCUUGCUCCAGUUGAGCCUGCAUGGCUCUAGUUCGGGAGCCCCGGUGCCGAGCUCGGCUUUCUUCGGGAGCAGCCUGAAGAAAGUGAACUCCGGUCCGAGCCAUGGGAGGAACUCCACCGCCACUUUCAAGGUCUUGGCUGCUGAUCUCGAUGAGUCGAAGCAGACUUCCAAGGACAAAUGGUCAGGGCUUGCCUACGACGUCUCCGACGACCAGCAGGACAUCACCAGGGGAAAGGGCCUCGUCGACUCGCUCUUCCAAGCUCCCAUGGGCGACGGCACUCACAUCCCCGUCAUGACCUCCUACGAGUACAUCAGCCAGGGUCUUCGCCAGUAAGGAACCAUUCGAUAUCUUGAUCUAUCAUAGCUUUCAGCCUUCUUCCUCGUCGGUAUCCACUGAACCGUUUGGUCUCAGAUACAACCUCGACAACACCAAGGACGGCUUCUACAUAGCUCCGGCUUUCAUGGACAAGCUUGUCGUGCACAUCACCAAGAACUUCAUGGCCCUCCCGAACAUCAAGGUAAUCCCAUCCUACCUCAUCUCAUGCGGUCGCUGCCAUUGAUUUCUGGUUGAUGUGGAUUCUAACUGGGCGGUGACAGGUUCCCCUCAUCUUGGGUGUCUGGGGAGGCAAAGGCCAAGGGAAGUCAUUCCAAUGUGAGCUCGUGUUCGCCAAGAUGGGGAUCAAGUGAGUGCUUCCUUGAGUUCAUGACAUGUUGUUACGGCUCAGAGGUCUUUGGUGUCUCUCGUUCAUGCUCCGUGUCGAACACUUGGCAGCCCUAUCAUGAUGAGCGCCGGAGAACUGGAAAGCGGCAACGCAGGUGAGCCAGCGAAGCUGAUCAGGCAGCGGUACCGUGAGGCAGCAGACAUCAUCAAGAAGGGGAAGAUGUGUUGCCUCUUCAUCAACGACCUCGACGCAGGAGCGGGAAGGCUCGGCGGCACCACCCAAUACACCGUCAACAACCAGAUGGUGAACGCCACGCUGAUGAACAUCGCCGACAACCCGACCAACGUGCAGCUCCCGGGAAUGUACAACAAGCAGGAGAACCCUCGCGUUCCCAUCAUCGUCACCGGCAACGACUUCUCCACUCUCUACGCGCCUCUCAUUCGUGACGGCCGUAUGGAGAAGUUCUACUGGGCGCCGACCAGAGAUGACCGCAUCGGCGUCUGCACGGGCAUCUUCAGGACCGACAACGUCCCCACGGAGGACAUCGUCAAGCUCGUAGACUCCUUCCCGGGGCAGUCCAUCGGUAAGCUUCCCAAAAACACAAGAUUCACAUGAUCUGUCACCGACUCAUCCGAUCGCAUGUAUCUCCAUGGCCAACGUGCAGACUUCUUUGGUGCUCUUCGGGCCAGGGUCUACGAUGACGAAGUGAGGAAGUGGGUGGGAGACAUUGGAGUGGACAAGGUUGGAAAGAAGCUGGUCAACUCGCUCGAAGGGCCACCAACCUUUGAGCAGCCCAAGAUGAGCUUGGAUACGCUGAUGGAGUAUGGCAACAUGCUGGUGAAGGAACAGGAGAACGUGAAGAGGGUGCAGCUGGCCGACAAGUACCUGAGCGAGGCUGCGCUCGGAGACGCCAACGCAGAUGCCAUGAAGACUGGCUCUUUCUACCAGUAACUCCAUGAUGGUUGCAGGCAAAGCAGCCCAUCCGUCUCUUACGAUCCUCGAUGAACGCAGAGCUGCAUGCAUAAAUUCCAGGCUUGUAGUUUGUGUGGAUAAGUGGGCGAAUAUUAUUAUCAGCCUCUGUAUCGGUGAUACAUAUAUUAUGUGCAUUUUCCUCAGUUUUGGAAGGC
rnacentral:lncRNA from 1 species